rnacentral:rRNA from 1 species
GGACUACUAGGGUUUCUAAUCCUGUUCGCUCCCCACGCUUUCGCUCCUCAGCGUCAGUAUCGGCCCAGAGACCCGCCUUCGCCACCGGUGUUCCUCCUGAUAUCUGCGCAUUUCACCGCUACACCAGGAAUUCCAGUCUCCCCUACCGAACUCAAGUCUGCCCGUAUCGACCGCACGCUCCACGUUAAGCGUGGAGAUUUCACGGCCGACGCGACAAACCGCCUACGAGCUCUUUACGCCCAAUAAAUCCGGACAACGCUCGCACCCUACGUAUUACCGCGGCUGCUGGCAC